rnacentral:tRNA from 1 species
UAGGUUGUUGGUGUAAUUGGUAACAUACUUGGCUCCAACCCAAGUGAUAGGAGUUCGAAUCUUCUACGACCUG